rnacentral:rRNA from 1 species
GAGUUUGAUCCUGGCUCAGAUUGAACGCUGGCGGCAGGCCUAACACAUGCAAGUCGAACGGUAACAGGAAGAAGCUUGCUUCUUUGCUGACGAGUGGCGGACGGGUGAGUAAUGUCUGGGAAACUGCCUGAUGGAGGGGGAUAACUACUGGAAACGGUAGCUAAUACCGCAUAACGUCGCAAGACCAAAGAGGGGGACCUUCGGGCCUCUUGCCAUCGGAUGUGCCCAGAUGGGAUUAGCUAGUAGGUGGGGUAACGGCUCACCUAGGCGACGAUCCCUAGCUGGUCUGAGAGGAUGACCAGCCACACUGGAACUGAGACACGGUCCAGACUCCUACGGGAGGCAGCAGUGGGGAAUAUUGCA